GAUGAACGCUGGCGGCGUGCCUAAUACAUGCAAGUAGAGCGAACAGACGAGGAGCUUGCUCCUCGGACGUUAGCGGCGGACGGGUGAGUAACACGGGGAUAACCUACCGAUAAGACGGGGAUAACUUCGGGAAACCGGAGAUAAUACCGGAUAAGAUAUUGAACCGCAUGGUUCAAUAGUGAAAUGCGGUUGUGCUGUCACUUGUAGGUGGAGCCGCGCGGCAUUAGCUAGUUGGUAAGGUAACGGCUUACAAAGGCAACGAUGCGUAGCCGACUUGAGAGGGUGAUCGGCCACACUGGACCUGAGAACCGGUCCAGAUUCCUCCGGGAGCAAGCAGUAGGGAAUCUUCCGAAUUGGGCGAAAGCCUGACGGAGCACCGCCGCGUGAGUGAUGAAGGUCUUCGGAUCUUAAACCUCUGUUAUUAGGGAAGAACAAAUGUGUAAGUAACUAUGCACGUCGUGACGGUACCUAAUCAGAAAGCCACGGCUAACUACGUG
rnacentral:rRNA from 1 species